rfam:Gossypium arboreum cultivar AKA8401 contig_8561_3, whole genome shotgun sequence.
AGCCGUCCAGUGAGCACAUAGCGAACUAUUCUUUCGCCUUUUACUAAAGAAUACCGUGUGCUAGCUGCUAUUAGCGGCAUAUGCCAAUUUCUGGAGGGCUCUUCAUAUUGGAGAGCC